CAGGACCUCUGGAAGAGCAGUCAGUGCUCUUAACCGCUGAGCCAUCUCUUCAACUCUCCUUUGUCUAUUUUUGAUUGGAUUGUCUUCUUGAUACAUAUAAAAGUUAUUUACUUUUAUCUACCUUUACAUUCUAAUUCUCUCCUGUCUCUCUAUUUAGGAGCCUGGUUCUCGUAGAGCUCAGACUGGCCUCCAGUGAAUUCUGCAGGCAAGCAUAACCUUGAACUCUGGUCCUCUGCCCUUCCCUUCCAAGCUCAGGGGUGCUGUACCAAAGAUGCAAAAGUCAUCCAUAGGCUCUGGACAGCAAACACACGUCAGACCCAUGUACUCCCUGUCUCCUGAGCUGUCAUUUUACAUUCUUUUGUGACCCACCUCCACCACCGCACGAAAGGUUUCAGUUUUGAUGGCGUCAUACUGAACAUUCACGCCCGGCUUUAAGAUUAUAUUUUACUCUAAGAGUUUUACACUGUUCAACUUUUACACCUAGAUCUUUGAUCUGCUGGGUUUCAUUUCAUUUUUACUGUUAUGCUUACAAAGCAAAUGGAUCCCAGGACCUUGCACAUGCUAAAUAAGUCUUAGACACCCGAGCCAUAUUCCUAGGCCUUAUUUGAACUACUUUUUGCGUAUGGUGUGAGAUCAAUGCCUGCUUUAGCCUGUUUUCUGUUGCAAAUAAUACAGUAUCACAGACUAGGUAAAUUAUAAAUUAGUUUAUUUUGGCUCACAGUUCUGGCCCAUGGUGAAGGAGCCAAGCCUCCCCAUGGCCUUCUUGCUGGCAGAGUCCCGGGACAAUUGGGGCACCCCCAAUGACAGGAAGUUCACAUGUCUAGGUCUGUCCUCUGGCUUUCUUACAAAGCUACCAGGUGGGGCGCACCAUAAGGAUCUUAUAUAACCCUAAUCACACCUCAAACGCCCCACUUCUUCACAGUGUGCUGAGAUUGAGUUUCCACCUCACAAUACCUCACGCUGGGGAUUAAACUCGAGCCUGUGCUGCUGCCAGGACGGUAAACCCAGUUCGGACCUCAGGAGGGCUCAGCUUCAUCCUUGGAGCGAUUUCAUUGCAACUGCCCCUGUGGAGUGCUCUGCAAGUCCACAUGGAAUUUCAGAACAGCUUUCUCACUUCCUGUGGCAAAGGCUAUGAAGAUUUGCCUAAGCGUGCACUGUUGUGCCCGUUCAAUAACCCCAAAGACCACCGAGGAGCAGUCUCCUUAGCGUCUUUUUAUUCCAGCCUCAGCUUGACAGCCAACUCUGACAUCACAGGACCCGAGGGUGGAAGCCUCGAGCCCAGUUUCAAGCAAGCAUUUAUAGAGGCAAGCAAACAAGUCAAGAGGGUUUCUAGCCCGGCACACACACGAUUGGGGGACUAUUAUGGAAUUUUGUUGCCCUUUAAAAUUAUUGGCUGGUGCUGGGAGCCAAACCUUAACCUUAACUUCUGCUUUCCUCCUGAUUGGUGGUUGUUAGGAAGUGAAGUGCCAGGGGCAGGCCUGUUGGGGAGUAACCUGGAAACUCUGCUGCGCACAGGCUUAUUGGUUAACUCUAGUUCAACCAUAGGUCAGGUUCUCUAAGACGGGAGUCCGAACCCAAAAUGAAGUUGAUCUGGUCUCGCCUGCUCUACCUGUAGAUCACACUGGUGAGGCUUGCUAUGCUACGUAGCAAUAUCAAGGGUUGCCUCCUGUCAGAGCUAAAUGUCUUUGAUACCCAGGUUUUCACGGCAGCACUGUUUAGUUAGGUUCAGUCCUAAGUAUUUUUAUUUCCUGCUGUGGUUAAAAAUGUGAUUGUAAACUUCAGAUUUGAAUCAUCCACCCCUAAGGCGGAGGAACGCAUCUGGUUUCUGUAUGUUUUUAGUGUCCGUUUAAAGUUCGAUUUAUUUGUCGGCUUACUCAAAAAAAAUAAAAAAUAAAAUAAAAAUGG